UCCGGUUUGACACCGGCAGUCUCCCAUGAGUCCCCGACAUUACUCGCUGGCAACAUAGGAUAAGGGUUGCGCUCGUUGCGGGACUUAACCCAACACCUCACGGCACGAGCUGACGACAACCAUGCACCACCUGUAUAGGACGCCGAAGCACACCGUGUUUCCACGGCUUUUCCCUAUAUUUCAAGCCCUGGUAAGGUUCUUCGCGUUGCUUCGAAUUAAGCCACAUGCUCCGCCGCUUGUGCGGGCCCCCGUCAAUUCCUUUGAGUUUUAGCCUUGCGGCCGUAGUCCCCAGGCGGGGUGCUUAAUGCGUUAGCUGCGGCACGGAAGAAGUGGAUUAUCUCCCACACCUAGCACCCAUCGUUUACGGCGUGGACUAC
rnacentral:misc_RNA from 1 species